rnacentral:rRNA from 1 species
UACGGAGGGUGCAAACGUUGCUCGGAAUCAUUGGGCGUAAAGAGCUCGUAGGCGGCUUGGCAAGUCGGGUGUGAAAACUCCAGGCUCAACCUGGAGACGCCACCCGAUACUGCCAUGGCUAGAGUCCGGUAGGGGACCACGGAAUUCCUGGUGUAGCGGUGAAAUGCGCAGAUAUCAGGAGGAACACCGGUGGCGAAGGCGGUGGUCUGGGCCGGAACUGACGCUGAGGAGCGAAAGCGUGGGGAGCGAACAGG